rnacentral:rRNA from 1 species
UACGUAGGGCGCAAGCGUUGUCCGGAAUUAUUGGGCGUAAAGAGCUCGUAGGUGGCUUGUCGCGUCUGCCGUGAAAGCCCAUGGCUUAACUGUGGGUCUGCGGUGGAUACGGGCAGGCUGGAGGCUGGUAGGGGCAAGCGGAAUUCCUGGUGUAGCGGUGAAAUGCGUAGAUAUCUGGAGGAACACCGGUGGCGAAGGCGGCAUCCUGGACCGAUACUGACGCUGAGGAGCGAAAGCCAGGGGAGCAAACGGG